rnacentral:rRNA from 1 species
UUCGGGGGUACACGAGCGGCGAACGGGUGAGUAACACGUGGGUGAUCUGCCCUGCACUUCGGGAUAAGCCUGGGAAACUGGGUCUAAUACCGGAUAUGACCAGAGGCUGCAUGGCUUUUGGUGGAAAGGUUUACUGGUGCAGGAUGGGCCCGCGGCCUAUCAGCUUGUUGGUGGGGUAAUGGCCUACCAAGGCGACGACGGGUAGCCGACCUGAGAGGGUGACCGGCCACACUGGGACUGAGACACGGCCCAGACUCCUACGGGAGGCAGCAGUGGGGAAUAUUGCACAAUGGGCGAAAGCCUGAUGCAGCGACGCCGCGUGAGGGAUGACGGCCUUCGGGUUGUAAACCUCUUUCAGCAGGGACGAAGCGAAAGUGACGGUACCUGCAGAAGAAGCACCGGCCAACUACGUGCCAGCAGCCGCGGUAAUACGUAGGGUGCGAGCGUUGUCCGGAAUUACUGGGCGUAAAGAGCUCGUAGGCGGUUUGUCGCGUCGUCUGUGAAAACCAGCAGCUCAACUGCUGGCUUGCAGGCGAUACGGGCAGACUUGAGUACUGCAGGGGAGACUGGA